CCGCUUCUUCACUUCCAUAUGCUCGGUGUAAUGUUUAGUCCAGAGAGAAAAACAAUGGAAGUCCGAGAGAUCGAGAAGUAGAGAAAGUGAGAGAUGCAUCGCCAACGAAAAAAAUUAGCAAGACUUCUCUGUUGCUCUAAUCAACAAAAACAAAUUACUAGAUAUAAUAAAAUCACCAACAGAUCAGUUUCCGAAGAAGACGAUUCAGCUGGUCUCGCUCCCAUUAACUCACUUCAUCGAACGAUUCUUUACCCUCUUAACACAUUACUUCUUUCUCAAUCGUCUAAUUUCCCUAUUUCAAGGUUUCUCUCUGUUUCUCUUCGACAGGUUAGGAUGUAGUUAACUAUCAAAAUCCAAUCAGAUUUUAGUCAAUUCAAAUUUGUAUUCAAUCAAAAUUCGCUUGUGGGGAUUUUUCUUUUAUUGUAUUCAAUCAAAAUUUGUAUCUAAACUGAUAAUCUGGUAAUGUUCUACAUGUGGUGAGUGUUGCGUUGAAAUUUGAAUUUUAGGUCAUAUUCAGAUGGGCGAUUUGUUGCUAUUGCAUUGGGGGAUUAUGUGUUGUGUAACGUCCAAUCCCUUCGGCAAGGAAUAGAAGAUAAAAUCAUCACGUCCAAUUAGUGGCUUAUUCUCUUCUUUUCUUGUUCUCGGCAGAUGGAUUAGCAACGGCAUCAAUGGGAACUCUACAAAACCAUCUUCUCCGCCUCAUCAAUCGUCUGUUGGUGGAAAAAGGACGGAUUAUCGAAAGCAUUAACUAUAGCUGAAGGAACGACUGUUUCUGAUGCUUGCCGAAGGAUUGUUGCUGGAAGAGUUGAUGCAGUGCUUCUUACUGAUGCAAAUACUUUACUCUCUGGAAUCGUUACUAACAAGGAUAUUGCAACUAGAACUAUUGUUGAAGGGUUAAGACGAGAACAGACGAUAGUUUCAGGUAAACUAAAUGGUAAAGGGAAGCAGGCAAAACCCCGAUCCAACCGUAGUCCCAAGAUGUCCAAAAGGUCAGGUACUCGUUUUCAUGUUCUGAAAAGUAUUAUGUUGAUUUUUUCCCCCUAAAAGUACUAAUUACUAGUAAAGAUGAGAUGAAUUUUUAAGUCAAACAGGUGCCCUCCUACUGCACUUCGUUAGAUGUGCACUUAAUAUUUAACUAUAUUUAGAUUGUACAUACUGGCAAUAUAUUGGAAAUAU